rnacentral:rRNA from 1 species
AACAAGGAUUCCCCUAGUAACGGCGAGUGAAGCGGGAUGAGCUCAAGCUUAAAAUCUCCGUGCAAUUUUUGCACGGCGAAUUGUAGUCUAUAGAGGCGUGGUCAGUAUAAGCACUUGGGGUAAGUUCCUUGGAAAAGGACAGCAUGGAGGGUGAUACUCCCGUUCAUCUCUAAGUUGCUUGUGCGUACGACCCGUUUUCUUUGAGUCGCGUUGUUUGAGAAUGCAGCGCAAAGUAGGUGGUAAAUUCCAUCUAAAGCUAAAUAUUGGUGCGAGACCGAUAGCAAACAAGUACCGUGAGGGAAAGAUGAAAAGAACUUUGAAAAUAGAGUUAAAGAGUACCUGAAACUGCUGAAAGGGAACCAAAUCGUUUCCAGUGUCUAUAAUCCGUGGUAUAUUUCAUUGGCGAGUGUGUGCGUGCGUGUGCUGUUGCAGUGGCUUUUUGGCUGCGCUCAGUGUGUGUGCUGUGUGUACUUGCUGGUGCCCUGUGCUACGGUGGGACGUCAAGGUCAGUUCGUAUGCUGCGGGAAAUGGCUACUGAGGAGGUAGGGCUUACGCUUGCGUUUGUCUGUUAUAUCUUGGUGGACGAGUCGUCGCGGUUGGGACUGAGGUGCCUACAACGUGCUUUUGAGUGGGCUUGGGUCUCCGUGUGCGCCGUGUGCGGAUAGCUUGCUAUGCGUGUGUGGUUGUAUGUGGAUUGAUUGCGAGCCGUAACUUGUAGU